GAUCAUGGCUCAGAUUGAACGCUGGCGGCAGGCCUAACACAUGCAAGUCGAACGGUAACAGGAGAAGCUUGCUUCUUUGCUGACGAGUGGCGGACGGGUGAGUAAUGUCUGGGAAACUGCCUGAUGGAGGGGGAUAACUACUGGAAACGGUAGCUAAUACCGCAUAACGUCGCAAGCCAAAAAGGGGGGACCUUCGGGGCCUCUUGCCAUCGGAUGUGCCCAGAUGGGAUUAGCUAGUAGGUGGGGUAACGGCUCACCUAGGCGACGAUCCCUAGCUGGUCUGAGAGGAUGACCAGCCACACUGGAACUGAGACACGGUCCAGACUCCUACGGGAGGCAGCAGUGGGGAAUAUUUGCACAAUGGGCGCAAGCCUGAUGCAGCCAUGCCGCGUGUAUGAAGAAGGCCUUCGGGUUGUAAAGUACUUUCAGCGGGGAGGAAGGGAGUAAAGUUAAUACCUUUGCUCAUUGACGUUACCCGCAGAAGAAGCACCGGCUAACUCCGUG
rnacentral:rRNA from 1 species